rnacentral:lncRNA from 1 species
UACAACUUCCUCUCCUUAGACCGUCUGCUAAUCCCGAAGUGUAUCCUCCGACAGUCUACCUUCUCCCUUCUCCUGUGUCCGAUGCGUCCGGAGGGUACCUGCCAAAGGCACUCCGAUGCUUAAGUUAGUUAGGUUAUCCGACCGGAUGUCUGAACUCAGAAGUCCAUGUGUAAUAAAUAAACCUACUUACCUGGUACCUCUGACAUGUAUUUAUAGUGCUGGAUAUGGACUUAGUAUUAAGGCAAUCUUAAUCGAGGCUCAAUCACAGCCUAAUCACUUUAAGCAUGUAAUUAUCUUAAUUAUCUUGGUCUUAUCUUAAUCAUGCAGACCGUCCACAUCUUACCAUCCGGUUCCUUUCAUUUAGUCUGGCCGGCCGUUUUGCAGGGAUAACUGACUGCUUCCAUUUAGAUGUUUUCAAUAGACUGGUUUGUCUUGACCAGUAGACCGUCCGGUUCUAUUUCAGACGGUCGACCGGUAGUUCCUAGUAUAUAUAUAUAUAUUAAAUUGAUUUUAUCUCUAAUCGACGUGAAACUUUUAAUUGAUCUUGUAAGAUACAAUAUCUGUAUUCUUUUUAUCAAACAACAGUAAUAAUUCAAUUAACUCCUCUUGAACUUAGCUUUUCUUUCUAACAAUUGUAGGUACUAGUUCUUACUCGAAACCUGAUCAUGUCUUCUAAAAAUGGUCGAGAACAAAUGACCUUUUGGUGAAGCUGCUUUUAUAAAUAGACAACCCAUGUUUGGAGCUCUGAAUUAUCAAUUUUUGUUCAAUUUUUUGAAUAUGAAAAUAAGAAAGCUCAACAUGAUUAUAUGAACAAUAAUAUUAUUACAUCAUCUACCCAUUGGACCAUUGCGUCACUCACAACAAUGAACAACCACCACACAACAUAAUAAUGUCAUGUUACUUACAAAAAUGUUACGACACAUUAUUUAAGUUUGUUAAUUUGAGCUCAGAUAUAAAUUCAAAUACCUAAAAAAUUAUUCUUGUGUUAAUAAUUAAAGAUAACUAAUAAAGUUUUUUGAUGAAAGUGGCCUAUGAAAAUAACUCAUAUUUUAAUACAAAUGCUAUGAACUGUCUAAAUAAUAAUAAUAAAAUUAAACCAAGAUUAGUAGAAAACAAUCAAAUAUUUAAUAAAAAAAUCUCAUUAUGUUAAGAUCUAUUUAAACGAACUUUGCAGAUUUAAAAGAAAAAAAACCAGAAAAUAGUAUUUUUUUUUCUUAAAGUUAAAAUUAAUGAGUAUAACCUAAUUUAUAGAGAUUCUUGUAUAAUUUUUAAAUAUUUGUUUUUAAUUACAUAACCUAAUUUUAACUUGUAAAGAAAUAGCAUUUUUUUUAUUUCAUUAGUAUUUUUGAAAAAAAAAAUGAUAUAAAUAUAUGAUAAUUCCAUACAAUAUAUUUAAGAUUCUAAUUUUAAGCAGUAUAUUUGAUUGGAAUGGAUAAAAUAGAUUAAUUGAAUUAAAGUAUUGUAAAAUUUGAACCAAAUUUUAAAAGUAGUUUAAGGAAACUGAAUGGAAUUUAACUAUGAUUUUUUAACCAUUCUAAAUUGUUUGAACUAUAUGAAUUUUUAUUAUAUAUUACCGCUAGACGUCUUAUUCAAUAUAUAUUUUUCACAUAAAUUAUAGUUCAAUUUAUAUUAAACAGUGCUAUUUAAGAGUAAUUCAAACUUUAUAAACCAAAAUAAUAGAACAAUCGAGUACAGUUUUUAUUUUAAAUAAUUCAAUUCUUUCAUGUGAUCGAAAUGUAGUAAAAUUACUGAGAAAAUUACGAAUAAUAUUUUUUGAAACAUGUAAUUUCAUGAUUUUUAAAAAUUUAUUUGUGAUGUAUUGUGUAAGUCUCUUAAAAUGUAAUAGGACUUCUCGAAUUGUAUUCGGAAAUUUUAGAACUAGAAAAAAAAAACUUUGAAAGAGUUUAUAUAAAGAAUAUAAUAUAAGAGUUAAAAUACCAUAAAGUAAGAGAUCUGGAAAAUAAAAGGGAGAAGAAUUUGUAAGAAAGAGAACUUCCAAAAUUAGAAUGAAAAUAAGGAAGAACUAUCGAAUGUUUUCGGAACUAGAUGAUGUAUGUGGUUUUUCCGUGUUGAGCCAAGGUGCUAAGGAUCGUCUUUUAUAGAUGAAGGUAAUGGAAAUGGUCAACAAAUAAAGCAUGAAAUCAAGAGGGAAUCCUGCAUUUUGUUAUUGAAUAUAACCAAAAAGUUGUAUUUUUUGUGGAGCAUGUUUUCGUGUUUUGGUGAAAAAUAAGGAACCCACCAAUAGUGUUCAUACACAAGCCUGGUCCUAAAUAGCUCUACCAAUCAUGUAUGUGAUUUUUUCAAUAAUAAAAUACUAAGUUUUAUAUCAAUCCCUCACAUAUUCUAAAAGUGCAAAUAAUUAGAAAGAAAGAAAAUUUAUCCUGGAUUUCAUAAGAUGUAACGUAUCAUAACAAAUAUAGCAAAUUAUAUAAAUCAGUCUUAAAUCGAGAAACUUAACACACAGUGUAGUUGGUAUAACCCCCACAAUCAAGCUAGUAUACGAACCAAAGACACUGUGUGUUAGAGGUUUAUCAAUCACAAUACACCACUACAAUCCUUAUUGUUAUCGUUAUGUUGCACUUAUUAGGCCAUGCGCAUGCCCGAUAUUUAUGAGUGCUCUAAAGAUCGUGCCAAGAUCUCAUGCAAGGGAUCCCACUCGACACUCAUAUAGGUGAUUUCAUCAAGUGUAUGCUAUAAAUCAUACACCACCCAUAAGGGAUAUGAAAAUCAUUAAAAACUUUGUUUAAGCUAAAUUUUUUUUCCCCAUAUAAAAUUUUAAUGACAAAGCUUAACCUCUCAUAAUGUCAUAUCUAGCACUUUCACACACACACGCACACACACACACACACCAUAGGAAUGGACAUAAUUGAUUAAAAUUUAUUUAGUGCUAUCAGAACUAACAAGUGACUUGUUUUUACACCCUUCAGGUUGAGUCAUAUAAAUUUCUUCCUCCAAAUCACCAUUCAAAAAAAGUUGUUUUAACAUCCAUUUGGUGUAUCACUAGUUUAUAAAUAGUUGUUAGAGCUAACAACACUCCAAUGAAGGAAAUCCUAGUCACACGAGCAAAGGUAUCAAAAUAAUCUAUGUUAGGUUUUUGAGUGAAACCUUUUGCUACUAAUCUUGCCUUAUAUUUCUCUAUGGAUCCAUCUAGGUGCUACUUUUUCUUAAAGAUCCAUCUACAACCAAUGAGUUUUGCUCCGUUAGGCAAAUAUACUAAAGUCCAAGUAUUAUUUUUCUGAAUUAAUUCAAUUUCAGUCCUAAUGGCUUUAUCCCAGUAUUUUGCAUCAGGAGCAUUAAUAGCCUCUACAAAGCUAGUUGGAUCAUUAUCAACGAGAUAAGUAUAAAAGUAAUCUCCAAAGGAAGUUUCCUUUCUUUGUCUUUUACUUCUUCUUAAACCCUCACUCAUGGCAUCACUGUCAUUAUCAAUAGGUUCAAAUGUCUCACUAAUUUUUUAAGGGAAAAAUAUGUUAAAAAAACUAAACAUUUUUUGUCUCCAUUAUAGUGUUACGUUCACAUCACUUUUGAGAACGAGAAACCUAUAUGAAGCACUAUGUUCGACAUAGCCUAAGAACAUGUAAUAAGAUGUGUUAGAGCAUAUUUUCCUUUUCUUAGGAUCGGGUAACAUCACCUUAGCUAGGUAUCCUCACACUCUUAGAUAUUUAAGGUUAGGUUGGUAACCACUAGUAGAAAAAUGUCUUUCUAUAACUACCUAUAUUAUAACGUACAAAAAUUAUGCGUUAUAAUAGAGAUGUAUUAUAACGUACUUUUAUAAAUAAGUUAUAAUAUGAAAUGCGGUGGCAAACUUGUAAAUAAGUUUAAAACAUAUUAUAACGUAGUUUUAUAAAUUCGUUAUAAUAUCAAAAGCGGUGACAAACUUGUAAAUAAGUGCAAAAUGUAUUAUAACGUAGUUUAAAACCAAUUCUUUGGCUCAAUAUUUUUAAUGAGGGAAUAUAGGAACUUGCAAUUGCUUGAAGCAUCUUUUGUCAUAUUUUGCAACUAUGAUGAUUUUGCUUUAGAUGAUCAGUUAUUUGUUCACUCUCAAAAAGAACAAAUUUACUUACCCUCGGUCCUUCUUCGGGUUUGUAAUUGUCAUGAGGUUCUUGCUCUCUCUUACUUGGAAAAUCCAGAGAAUGGUAGGAAUGCUCAUGUAACUUUUAAUCUUGGGAGCUGCAUCAAUCAAAUUUUCAAUAUUUUUUGUUAUAAGAAAUAAUUUAUUGUUAAAGAAAUCUAUGAUCAUUGUAUAAAAUAAAUCUAUAUGUUCAUUGUGGCUUCCAACUGAGAGAAGAUAUUCUUUCUCAUAGUCUAAAUUUUAUUGCUUAUAUUUAACUAUUAUAUUAUUGCUUUUAAUUCUAGCAUGAAUAUAUGGCUUAUAAUUGUCUUAUAAUUAUAUUUUUUAUUCUUUCAUAACAAUUGUAGGCUAUUUAUUAUCUUGAGAAGGGGGAGUCUGUUUUUGUUGUUGCUCACACAUCAGCUGGAAAAACUGUAGUUGCCGAAUAUGCAUUUGCUUUAGCAUCAAAAGUAUGCUCUGAAUCUUUACUAUUCAUGAAGUUUCUUUGUUUCUUUUCUUUUUCUUCCCGACAGCUUAACUGCAUAAGUCAUGAACCAUAUUGUUCAAUACCAUUUAUAUAUAACAGUGCUCUUUUUCUACUAUCGAUGAUAUUUUGACUUAGUCUUACAAUAUUGUUAAGCUUUUCUGUAUUAAAANUUUCCAUUGGGCAACUACCUGCUCUGUCCCAAUUGCACACAAAAUGAUAAUUUUAUACUUUUUAUCAUUGGUUUUUGACAAGUGUACACAUGGCCUUGGAAAUUAAGUUGGAGGGCAGUAGGUAAAUGGUAUGACAAUUUCUUUCUUUCUUUAUUUGCAACAAAAAUUGGUUAUGUUUGUGAUGUUCGGUAAUUAAGUAGAGUAUUGGUGUGACCUUGCUGAUGAAGUUAUAAGAUGUGGUGAUAAUUUGAUGGAAAAGUUUGCUCACGAGGCAGGCAUGAGAAUAAAAUUAAAGUAUAUAGCAGCUAGCUAAGCUAAGCCAAGAGAGUAGAAUAGUUGUGUUCUCUAGAAACAAUAAACCACACAAAUAUAAGGUUGUUCUGCAGAAUCAUUUUCAUUCAAGGUAUUCCUACUAUUUUGACUAAACAUAUUUAUUCCAUUUUCAGAUAUUUAAUAUUGAUAUAUAUGUUAAAAUCUNAUAUAGUGAUAUAUUAUUUAUUGGUUUUCUAUANUUGGACUUAUUCUGCANGGCGCUGANGGUGUUCUAGUUCUAGGAGGUUUUGGUGAUAGAGGAGUGCAAGGGGCUAAGUAUGCUCGAGAACAUAAUGUUCCAUUUUUGGACAUUUGCUUGGAUAUGCAAAUUGUUGUCAUUGAGUAGAGAUUUAUUCUUGGGCAGAUGAUGUGAAUCAACAGUGUAUUAUUGCUGAAUCAUUUAAAUUUGCAUAAUAUGAAUGAUGUAUUAAAUAUUAGACUAUUUGAAAUGAAAUUUAUUUUGUUAAUUUCAUUAAAUUUGUUUAUUUGAGGCUAUAUUAAUUAUAAAUUGAUUGGAUGAGAGGAUAAUAAAUGUAAUAAUUAAUUUUUAUUUUUUUUUAAAAAAAUAUCAUAUAUUAUAACGUAAAAGAACUCUUACGUUGUAAUACUUUCUACCCUAUUAUAACGUACUUGAGAAAUUACAUUAUAAUAUGUUUGAUAUAUUAUAACGUACUUCAAAAACUAUGUUAUAAUAGGUUCUACAUAUUAUAACGUACUUCAAAAACUACGUUAUAAUAGGUUUGACAUAUUAUAACGUACUUCAGAAACUACGUUAUAAUAAGUUCGACAUAUUAUAACGUAAAUUUUUGUUACGUUAUAAAAUGUGCAGACUUACUAUAUCGCCCAAAACUAUAUCCCUAGAAACUACGUUAUAAAAAGUCAUUUUUGUACGUUAUAAAAAGUCAUUUUUCCACUAGUGAACCUUUACAUAGCUCAUAGGGAGUUUUACCAAUUUUCUUAUGAGGUAUUCUAUUUUGUAAAAAACAUGCUGUAAGCAAGGCUUUUCCCCAAAGGUUUUUAGGUGCACAAAAACUAAUAAACAAGGCAUUCGUCAUUUUCAUUGAUUUUAUCACCAAAGAUCACUGAAUACAUUAUAACAUGCAAAACUCAAACAACAAAGCACAUACCACACCCAUCUCCAUAACACGUCUAAUGAAGUUGUGUCACACAUUUGUAUUCAACUAAUGCAAUAUUCUAGAGAAUUUCUCUAUAGGACCUUUGGGAGAAAUGAAAUGAUCACAAAACCAAACCUCAAAUACAUGAAAAACACAAAAUUUAGUCAAUAUCCAAGCCACAACAUAAAAAAUAAUUACAUCUUAAUCAAUAAAAAAAAUUUACCUGCAACAUGAACACAUCCAUCAACAUACAAGUUGCUUAUACCUUUUCCUUUCUUCAAAGCUAUAUAAGCUUUGCAUAAACUACAUAACAAAUAUCAAUAAACUAUACUACCCUAAUAAUGAUUACCCAAACGACCUAAAUUGUCAACAAUAUUAAACAAAAUUAGAAACACUUUUAUGCUACUUUUAGGAAUUAAAACUUCAUAUAUCCCUACCAAAAUGUACAAGCUACAAAAAUGUGAUAAAGGGAAGUUUUCAUGUUCUUCCAACAAAAAAUCGUAUAUCAAUUUUAAAUCAUGUCUUCACCAAAGUAUUUCCCACACUUAUUACCUUUUACUUUCUCCUUUAACUUAAUAUCUUCUCCAUCUAAACUCAACCUUAAUCCUAAACAGAAAUCAUUUUCGUUGAAUUGGACAACUCUAUCUCCAAAUAAAAACCCACCACUCGAAUCAACCCAUCUAACCAAUAACUCAUUCAAAAUAUUCCUACCAAGCUUAACAUGAUUAGUCAAAUCUAAAAACCAUCGAAAUGACGUCUUCUUAAUAAGUGACAUGUGCUCCUCGGUCAAUCUUUCAUUCAAACUACAAACGUAAUUGGUUUUGAAAGAAUGACGAACACACAACUACAUCAAAGAAAACAAAUAAAAGGCAAAUCGAAAACGCAAAUAAAAGGCUACAUAACGAAAACACAGCAGCAAAAACGAAAAGGCAAAUCGAAAACGCAAAUAAGAAAAGGGAAAAAUCCAUUUACCUUGCUCAAACCACCAACGUCACCAGAGGAUUUCAUUGCGCACAAUACCGUCAACAGAAUGCUUCCAAAAAGUCAAAACUUUAACACAAAGGGGAGCUUUUGGUUCAUCCCACGCAAAUUAAAAGGUGGAGCAAAGGCUGAAGAGACAAUGAACAAUCAGAAAAUGGAGAGAAAACGAA